rnacentral:misc_RNA from 1 species
CCUUCCUUUUCCCGGGCUUAAUCAUGCACCACUCCCGGGUCACUGCCGGUUUCCCAGUCUAACCCCCUCCAUUAACUGAUCCCUCUCCUUGAAUUUCCAUAUUCAUGGAUCUGAUCAUCUGAUCACUUCAAUCUCUUUCAAAUACUUCAACCCAUAUCCUUUUGCCUGGUCCAAUGGCCCUAAAGCUGCAACUUUACCUCCUCAAGGCUGCAAAUUUUUGGGUUUCCGACACUAAUUCUAUGGUUAAACGAUAACCCUUGUUAGCCAAAUGAAGGCUUAGUUGAUUCUUGCUCAGUUCUUCAAGAAUCAGCAGAUGAUAGAUAGAGAUUAUUUAUUUAUUUCUUGGAAUUUGGAGUUGGUGGUGUCUAGCUGAGGGACUAUGACUUCCGGGCG